UGUGUUUGUGCUUGGGGUGGAAAGGAGUGUGUACAAGUAGAAGCUGAAUCACUAGAUUUAGAACUUGAAGAGCCCUUCCAGAUUAUCUGACUCAAUCCCCUUUGACAGGAGGAAAAAAAAAAAAUGAGGUCUCUGGAGGGAAAUGGACUUUGCAAAGCCACACAAGGUUUAAGGAAUAUUGAAAUUUGAACCAGCUUUUAGGAAUAGUAUAGAGGGAACUGUUGCUCAGAUGAUUGGAUUAGGUAAUCAAAAUCUCUAGUAAAAAAUUAGCUCUAGUCUCAUUUCCAGCUAGAGGGCUACUACUUUAGAUUUCUAAUGACAAACUAAAAUGGGGAGGUAGGAGUUAAGCCUCCGAGUCCCUCCUUUCUCUAUCCUGAUUGCCUAGCAACGGUUGAGCGUCCCUUGCCAGCUUAGGUCAGCAGCACCAUGGCUGCCACUACUCCUGGGCUUCCUAUGGCCAAGAAGGUGGUGGUAUACCGGAAUGGGGACCUGUUCUCUCCAGGAAGACAGCUGGUGGUCACCCACCGCCGUUUCCCCACUUUCGAGGCAUUUCUUAAUGAGGUGACAAGUGCCGUACAGGCUCCUCUGGCCAUUCGUUCCCUCUACACCCCCCAGCAUGGCCAUGUCAUCACUGACUUGUCAGAGCUUCAGAACGGUGGGGAGUAUGUUGCUGCUGGCUUUGAACGUUUCCGGAGGUUGCCCUAUAUCUACCCUGGAGGUGAAAAACCAGGGAGGAAAAAUAUCAGAUUCCUGGCUCCUCCAGCCCUCCCAAGACCAAAUUACAGGUCUCCUGGGAAGAGAAUCCCAGCCUUGGCCUCCUGCACAAUUCAGGUGUUUAGAAAUGGGGACCUGCUGAGCCCUCCUUUUAGCCUGCACCUAGCCUGUACCUCCCGGCAGGACUGGGGAGCAGUGCUGAGACAACUGACGGAGAAGGCCCAGCUGAAGGACGGAGCUGUGAGCGGACUCUGCACACUGGAGGGAGUGCCAGUGUUGAGCAAAGCAGCACUGGUGAAUGGUGGUUACUACGUAGCUGUAUCAAAGGAUGGGUAUAAGGCCCUACCCUAUUUGGAGCUUCUGGUGCCGAGCCCCUCCUUGCCGGGUGGCUUCUGGCGUCCACCAAGACUCGAACCCAAAGCCUAUAGGCAGAAGGCAGACAGCUUCGGGGCUCCAGCAGUCCAGUCCUCCAGGAAAGACUCCUCUGUUUUCUUUGCCAAACCUGUGCUGGCCCGAAGCCAUCGGAGAAGGUGCUCCCUACUUCAGCCUGGCAAGUUGGCCCCUGAUCCCUCGUAACAGCCCUGUGAACUAGCUACUAGAACGAAGCUAGCACAUUUUACAAAUAAGGAAACGGGUUUGGAGAGGUCAGGUUAUACAGCUAGUACAUGACCAAGAUGAUUGAAAACAAAAAGUUCCGCACCCUCAUAACUCCUUCUGUGUCUUGUUCUGCAUCCCCACACACUUAGACUAGAGGAGGUGUGGGGAGGUUAAGAGAGCUCCAGAAAUAGGGCUGAUCUUGAAGGGAGCAGUUUGUGUUUGGGCCCUGGACUCAGUGUUGUCCAGUCUCCAAAGUCUCCCUGUUCUUUAUGUCUUCCAGGAUAGGCUAAGAAAGGACAGCUGGGGAAACUGCUGAACCCCUGAGGCUCAGGGGCCUUUCUUUCCUUGAGGAGUGAGAAAAGUGCUUUGUAAACGGAGAUGUAAAUGUGAGAAGAAAGGAGUGUGUAUGGUGCACCCCACACUAGGAGGGAACUGGCAGGUGCCCAAGAAGUAAAGGAAGAUGGGAAUACAUUGACAGAAGUGCC